AAUCAUGGGUAGGACAAUAUUUCUAUUAUACAAAAAAAUCAGAUGAGCGUCAGCACCCGCAAGGUGGUGCUCUUGUUUUGACCUUGUUACGUUCAUAACUGUACAUUUUGAGGGAUUAAACUCCAUGUCCCACUUACUUUCCCAUAACUGUAACCUAUUCAAGUCUUGCUAGAGGAUGUUUUCUUAGGCAGAACUAUUUACAUUAAAUAUAUAGCAGUGUCAUCGGCGAAUAAACAGACCUGUGAAAUCAGAUUUUCAGGCAGGUCAUUUAUGUAGAAUAAGAAUAGAAGGGGGCCUAGGACAGAGCCCUGUGGGACUCCGGACGUUACUGGAACUUCAUCUGAUGCUUCACGAUUCACAAGGAUGGACUGGCGCCUGCCAAUCAAGAAAGACUUGACCCAUAGUGACGUGAUGCCCUGAACACCAUGUUGAUGAAGUUUGUACAGAAGUUUCAGAAGGUUUCAUCGUAGCCUGUCUACAUUGAGAUGAUUCACAAGUUACUGUUAUACAGGCAACCUUUUGGUACGGUUGUGUCUCUGAGGACAUGUUUAUGGAGCUUAAAUACUGGAAGAUCAAUGAGACUUAACCAGAAGUCUUUUUCUUCUGGUGCAAACAUCACCAAUAAACAACAGAUGAACUUGGUAUUGCAGCCAUGGAACCAAGCAUUACUCAGCAUAUCAAACUGUAAAAGAAAUAUGAGUAAUGAUAAAAGUUUUUCUGUACCUAGUUAUUUACCACGCCCAAGAUACAGCCACAGAUUUCUUGAAUUUCAUGAAAGUAUAAAAUGCCGGAAAGAUGAUUUCACAAUGAGCCAUUCAGAAUGGGAAAAUCUUGAGAGUGAAAUUCUGACGGAAGUACCAAGCUUAGCAGUUGGUCUUGAUUAUUCAAUAAUGAAGUCUUUGAGCGCAAUGCCUGAUUUAAGUGUUUCUUUUUUUAAUUACAUCAAGUCGAAAAGGGAACCAAAUAAGUAUGUUCUAAUUGAAUUCUUCUUGAAUUGUGCUGAAAAGUAUGAAGAUAUUGUUCUAGACGAAUUCGAAAAGUUCAUGAAAACAAAUGAUAAGCAUAAAUUAAUAUAUACCUCAGGAAACAGAAUUGCCCAGAGCAUUUCCAAAACAAGAGAAUGGAGGCAGAGUAUUCCACUGCUGGACUUGAAGGUGAAAAAUGAAGGUCAAAUAGCAUUAGGUGCACUUACUGCAUGCACCCAAAUUUUGAAAGCUGCCUUGAAAGAGCAGGACUAUAAAGUAUUCUUUGAAGUAUGGACUAGUUUCCUGCCUUUGAAGUACAGGUGUGAUACGGAACUAUUUUCUCAAGCAUUUUAUGAAAGCUGGCAGGAAGGAGUGAUUCCUGUUGAUGUUUUGUUUGAGUUGCUGAAGUUGGAAGAGUUACCAUUGCAAGAUUAUCAAAUGAGAGAAUUACAGGAGUACUGUAGCAGAAAAUGGACAACCAGUGCAGUUGCAAAAGUUACAAAUGUGGACAGACAAAGCAGGAGAUGUUCUACUUGUAGUGAGAAAAUUCCAGAAUAUGAAGCGAUAGAUGCUUCAGUUUUUGAAAAGCUUUGUGAACAAACUCUUCACAAGCUGUUGAUUGGUGAAAACAUAUACCGAAAUUCAAAUCCACAAGAACUGAAGAGGUUUUAUGAUUUUAUGAGUAAACAGAAGCAGCCGUUUGAUUAUGUCAUCGAUGGAUCUAAUGUCAUAUACAUGCGUCGUACACCUACAACAGAGUAUCUGGAGUUCAUGGUGAAAAAUCUGAACAGUGAUGGAAAACGAGUUCUGGUCAUUAUCAAAGGGAACCAAAGGAAGCUGUUGCAAUCGUUGCAGAAAUGGGCAACUGCAAUCUCUGUCGAUUACAAGUCAUAUGAUGAUUGCUAUAUAAUGCUUGCAGCAUUUUUGUCUGGACGAAAGUGCUUUGUUGUGACCAAUGAUGACUUGAAAGAUCAUGUAGCUCUGCUGGAUGGAACUGUGAAGCCAUACUUCCAUUUAUGGAGAGAGCAACAGAGAGUUUUUCACUUUGAAGAAAAGCUUCUGCAUCCUCCAACAUACAGAUGGAAAGCACACGAAUCGGAAAAAGCCUGGCAUAUACCUUACGAGAAAACAGAUAAAUCUAAGCAACAAAACAUUGGCAAUUUAUUCUCAAAAUUUAAUCUUAGGUCAUUCAUAUGUGUGAGGAAGCUUAACUAUGUGCCAUCACCAGAACUGACAUUGUUUAAAAAGUCAAAAAAUGAAUUGCUUAGAAAGUAGAAAGAAAACAGGCUCUGAUGACAAGUCAAAUACUGAAGUCAAUUGAUACAGGACUGCUAUGACUAUCUAGCAAUUGAUACAGGACUGCUAUGACCAUCUAGCAAUUGAUACAGGACUGCUAUGACCAUCUAGCAAUUGAUACAGGACUGUGAUUAAUCUUAGCAUCAAGUAGUUUAUACGAAACUGUGAUUAGAAUCUAGCAUUUAAUAUGGUACUGUGAUUAGCAUCUAGCAGAUGGAAUAAAAUUGUGAUUAGCA
rnacentral:misc_RNA from 1 species